GUUUCCAUAGUUAAAAUUUAUAACAACGGCUUUUCGGGCCGUUGUUCCUGGAGAGAGGCCAGGUGGAAAUU
rnacentral:tRNA from 1 species